CACAGAGGCACCCAUAGAGAAGAAGGCCAUGUGAAGACAGAGGCAGACAUUAUGCUGCCACAAGCCAAGGAUUGAUGGCAACGGCCAGAAGCUGGAACAAGUUGGUCCUGGUGAUUAUGGUCAUCCAGAGAAUCCACUGCUGCAGGCACUGAGUCCUGUCAAAGGUUCCUCAUGCUGAAGGGUGGAAAGAGCCACACACCCAAUUACAGGUGCUCUACUCCAAAGAAACCUGGGGCUUGGAUGCUGUGCUUUUGCCUUAAUCACAUGAGAUGCUAGGAAUGAGCUUUUCCCAACAGAAAAAGCUCAUGUUAUUUAGACGGCUGUGUCUCUCAAUUAAAAAAAAAAAAACCACAACUAUAAAUAAAUCAAGAUGGAAUCCUAAAAUAU